GAUAUAAGGGGAUGGAAGAAAUUUAUUUUGGGAGGGGAAGGAAUAUUUGACUGUCAACUUUAAAAUUAGUGUAACGUCAAUUGUUGAAGCUCUGUUUUUGUUAUAUUGGGUUUUUGUAUUUUUUUCCCCUUCAUUUUUCUAUUUUUCGAUGAAUCAAUCAACUUUAAGACUUUUAGUGGCACCCGGUAAUCUCAAUUCUGAACUACUUUUGCUGUAACAACACAAUCCCAUUUAGUAAUGCCUUCUCAUUUGAAGAUUUAGCAUAGAUUAACAUGUUUAGAUUUCCUUCAACAUUAAUCUAUGGAUUCGUUCUUUUAAAAUUCACAUGAAUACUUUUAUACAUUAAGCUUAAUUAUGCUGCUUUUUG
rnacentral:misc_RNA from 1 species